rnacentral:lncRNA from 1 species
AGGAAUUUUAUCAUGAUUCUAUUGUGCAUCUAAUGUUAUGCAUCUACUGUGCACAUUGGAUCUUCCAUUUGUGAAGGUGGAGAAAAAACAUACAGAGCCAAACACCUUUUAUUUAUUGAGUUUGAUCUUGUCCCCAAGAAGAUUUUCUUUGCAUAUAUUGCUUCUUGCAAUUCAAUGAAGUGGUGGUCAUUUUUUGUUGUUGCAAUUAUCUUGUUCCUACAUGAAGUCCAUAGUAUUUAUUUGUUACCUUAAGAGAAAGAAUUUAACUAUAAAUUUUUUGGGUACCAAUUUUAUUAAAUAUUCCUUGCAAUACUUGUAGCUAACUCAAUAUGGUGAUUUUUGUAUCCCGCAAAUACUGGUGAAGUUAAGCAAGGUUUUGACUUUGUUGCAAAAGAGCCCACAAAGCCUAAUUUACUAAAUGAGAUCAACCUUGCACAAGCACCCCUUCAAACAACUACCUGUUACCAAAUCCACUUGUAAGAUUAGAAGUUCUCUUAUUUAUAAACACAUUUUUGACCAUAUCUCAUAAUGGCCCAAAUGGUUUGAAAGAGAUGACUUGAUA